CUGAAGAGAAUUCAGAGCUGCCUGUCUGAAUGGCUGCUGCAUCCUUUGGGGUACUCAGCCACUUGAUUGAAAGAGCCAGAGGAGGACCAGGCAUGGGGAAGACCUUCCUGUGCAGACAAGAUGUGGCACAAUAGCACUUGCUUACUGUGCUGUAACUGGAGGGGAGGAACAGCACAGUGUCCUGCUGAGGUAGUCCAGAAGAUCUCACAAGACCUUCACAUAUGUGCACUGGCAUAAAGCUGGCAUAAGCGAGCAGAAAUCCAGGCAGUGUUUUGUGCCGGGAACCCUGGGCUCUGCGUUUCCUCUCCUCCUGGCCGCAGGAGCAGAGAACAGGGACAGCGAGGAGCUGAGGACCAGCAUGGGGGCUGUGGGGGGAGCCCUGGUGGAGCCUCAGAAUCCCAGACAGCCACGGCUGCAUGGUGCCACCGCUCCAGCCAUGCACUGGGGACAGGUGGGCACUGAAGUGAGAGGCUUCUGAUUUAGUCAGCGUGCAACCUAGCACUUGCACCCAAGGAAAGUAAAAGAUGUCUCAGCGGUAUGCAGGAGUCAGUAAGGUCAGUUAGACCGCUGAUCCCCGUUCCCCCUGGCUGAGUCCUGCACCACCACCUCAGCUCCUCCCUGCCAUUGCAGGACAAGACUUUAUGCUGUGGGCCUGGUAUUACUUCUUGGCAAUCACAGACAAGAAAAUCUCCUUUUAAUUUAAGAUCUUACUUGAAAAAGUGUACCAUAGUUUUGCUGGCUCAUACAAUACCAAGGCCACAGCAAAUCCUGGGAGAGACAGCAGGCUGAUGUAAAGAAGUGUUUGGAGAUUCUCACUCGGUCCCCAAAGUGCAGCACUUUUCUGUGUCUUCCCUGAUGGACCACAGCAACUGGGAUCUGGAUUUGUGAGGAAAACAUUGCAUGUUUGACCCAAAGUUUCAUGACUGGCUUCUCCCAGCUGCUUGCUUGGGUCCUGCAUCAUAAGACAGAUGCUAGUUGUUAAGGAGAGAAAAUCAUGGUACUCAGAGAAAGCAUAUGAAUCAUGAAAGCCAGUCUUUGGAUCUGGUAUUUAUGUCCCCAGUGGGAGUUAUUUCCCUCAGAUCUUUGCAGGUGGGUCACAGUAACAAGGUGAAUUUGCUCUGAUGGCACAAGAGGAGCACUUUCUGUCACCUCUUCUGCAUUUGGAUGGCCUUUCUUCACCACAGAAAAGAAGCAUGCUAGGGAAGUUACAAGGCCAGGGGGAUUAAACAUGUAGAGAUUCACUGCUGGUGGCAGCCCUGCAACAAACACAGUGACAAAGUGCACAGUCUACCCAAGUAAUUGCACAGAGUUCCCAAAGAUCUGUAAUUAAUAAAGAUGAUCAGUCAACAUGGAUCCUUUAUAUUUGUCUUUCUUUCCAUAUGCCCGUAAGAAUGACAUAAUGAACCAUUAAAUAAUAUCCGUAUCCCAGGGCAGAUUUGCUAUUGGGUCAAAUUAUCAGAGCUCCACUGUAAAUAUUGGUUCUGUGUCAGUAGAAGCAUCUUACACUAUCUUACAGGCUCACAUUUCUCAUGCCUGUCUAAGAGCGGGCUCUAUUUUAGUGAUGGAUGAGGAAAUUGUGAGGGUAAACAACUCUUUGAUCUAGCAGAAAAAAAAAAAAAAAAAGAAAAAAAAAAGAUAUUAAAAAGAUCUUGCUGAAGUGAGGCUAAUUCAAAAUUGAAAUGAACAUUUUUAGCCAUUAAAAUACCUUAUCUUGGAG